rnacentral:RNase_P_RNA from 1 species
UUAGAAGUUAGGAAAGUCCGAACUCCACAGAGCAUAGGGGCAGUUAACAACUGCUGGGAGAAAUCCUAAGGAAAGUGCCACAGAAAAUAGACUGCCUUUUCUUUUUUGUUAAGGUGAUGGUGAAAAGGUGGUGUAAGAGACCACCAUUGCCUCUUGUAAAAGAGGUAGAUAGGUAAACCCCCCUUGGAGCAAGACCAAAUAGAGGAAGGAUAGAGUUGCUCGCUCUCUUCCAGGGUAGGUUGCUCGAGCUUGUAAGUGAUUACAAGCCUAGAUAGAUGGCCAGCAUAACAGAAUUCGGCUUACAUC